rnacentral:rRNA from 1 species
AUUGAACGCUGGCGGCAGGCCUAACACAUGCAAGUCGAACGGCAGCGGGGGAUAGCUUGCUAUCCUGCCGGCGAGUGGCGGACGGGUGAGUAAUGCAUGGGGAGCUGCCCAAUCGAGGGGGAUAACAACUGGAAACGGUUGCUAAUACCGCAUACGCCCUGCGGGGGAAAGGUGGGGACCUUCGGGCCUACCGCGAUUGGAUGCACCCAUGGGGGAUGAGCGGGUUGGUGAGGUAACGGCUCACCAAGGCGACGAGCUCUAGCUGGUCUGGGAGGAUGACCAGCCACACUGGAACUGAGACACGGUCCAGACUCCUACGGGAGGCAGCAGUGGGAAUAUUGCACAGUGGGGGAAACCCUGAUGCAGCCAUGCCGCGUGUGUGAAGAAGGCCUUCGGGUUGUAAAGCACUUUCAGUGGGGAGGAAGGGGAGUAAGCUAAUAACUUGCUUCAUUGACGUUACCCACAGAAGAAGCACCGGCUAACUCCGUGCCAGCAGCCGCCGUAA